rnacentral:rRNA from 1 species
UACGUAGGGGGCAAGCGUUGUCCGGAUUUAUUGGGCGUAAAGCGCGUGUAGGCGGCCCGGUAAGUCCGCUGUGAAAGUCGGGGGCUCAACCCUCGGAUGCCGGUGGAUACUGUCGGGCUAGAGUACGGAAGAGGCGAGUGGAAUUCCUGGUGUAGCGGUGAAAUGCGCAGAUAUCAGGAGGAACACCAAUUGCGAAGGCAGCUCGCUGGGACGUUACUGACGCUGAGACGCGAAAGCGUGGGGAGCAAACAGG